AACAGCGAUUAGCUUGACCCUACAUGGCUGACUGCUGUGGUGAUUAAAGGUCCAGACCAUAGAAGGAAGUGAGAGGGGCGGUAAAUGGAGAAGUCCCAUUCAAACAGUCCAGACAUCACUGCCUGCCAUCUCCCCUGGUUUAGUCUUUCUUACCUUUGGCCUCUUUUCUCUUAUUGGGUGAGCCAGAUUUCCAUGGAAAGACGUUGACACUGCCCUGUGGACAUUUUAAAAGAAGUAUUACAUCCUGAAAUACUAUUCAAUGAGACCCAGACCAUACAUUAACAAAGCCUUUUAUAUGUUAUUAGAGCCUCUACAUUCAACCCAGGGUUAGGGAUAAGUUGAAAAAUAUGUGAGUGCUAAGUUACCAUGAUAGUCACAUGUAAUCUUGCUAGUUUCAAAUGAAAUGCUAACAUUCUCAGAAAGUCUGUGUACACCAUCUGCCAGCCAAAUCCAAAAUACUGUGCUUCAAUCUGGUGACUCUCAAAGGAUGCAAAGCUGAUAGAUAUUUAACAUUUUAUGUAUCAUAUCAGGAAUUUUGUGGUCUCCCAUUUUCCCCACGCCCCCUCACCCCUCUUUUUUCCCCACUAUGGCUGGUGAAAUUCUGCAGCAACAUGCUCUUGCCAAGAACACACAAGUUUUUAAUCCCAGCAGGCUUCAUCUUUGUCAAGCCAGCCUCCAAUUUCACAAAACUAUAAUGAAUUCCUUCAGUGUACUGCAAUCCAUCUGUGGUUUGGUGCCCAGUUUGCUGCCCCACGUCCACUGGGCAGUGGAAUUACCAAAUUCUCAAGACAUGUUAUCAGCCAUCAUUGCUACUGGUCUAUGGGUUCCACUGUAUAAGUUACUGAUUGGCCUGAGCCUCUGCAUUGGUAAACCCCAAUCUGAGGUCAACACUAACAUGGUCUAGCUAUCAACAGCUGAAUAUUUUAUCCUUAGGGAAAAUGCCAGUCAUUCCUAAGUACAUAACAGGAAAGUAUUACACUAUUACUUUUACCAAAGAGGUUCUUUCAGACCACUUUUGUGACAAUAAUUGUUGACAUGUUUACCCUAUUAACAAACAAGCUGCUGUUAGAAAUAUUUUAUUUUUUUCCAAGUAUACAUAGUAGAAUUUCUAACUAUGUAAAUAAUCAGUAAUCAUUGAAGAGGUUUAUGUGUGGUUGUGAACUGAAAUAUAUGGAGAAAUUUAAAAGAAGAUGGGGAAUUGUUCUAAGGGUAGACAUUACUGACCUAUGUUGUCUUAUAUGCUUAAGUUUUCUGUGUCAGUUUCCUUGGUCUAUUCAGGAAAUAUCUCUACCUGAAGUUCCACAGAUGCCAACUCACCAUGGCCAAUACUGAACUUCUCUUGCCCUUGCCCAGCAUCCUACAUCUUUAAUCCAUACUGUUCCCUAUAUCCGUUAAUGGCCUCACCACAUGUCCAGAAGCUCCGCUCAGAAAGCUGUGAUUCUGAGUUCUCCUUCUGUCUUAUUUCCCUCAUCAAGCCUAAUCUACUUUUAUCUCUCAAACACAUCCCAUCUCUAACCCCACUUCUGUUGCCUUAGUUCCAGCCUUUAUGAUCUCUGUUAUACUAGACUGUUUUAGUAACUUCUUAGCUGAUUCUCUGUCUUUUAUACCCUGACUCUCCAAUUCAGAUCCUUCUGAAACCAAAAUGUGAUUGUCUUUUCUUUGCAUUAAAAUCUUCCAGUAACUCCCCCAUCGCUACCCUAAAGGAUGAAAUUAAGAACUCUCAACCUGGCAUACAUGGUUCUUCAUGAUCUGGCCUCAUUUUAGAAGUUUCUAACAUGUCUACUGGGCAUGGAGGCAUAAGCCUAUAGUCAUAGCUACUUGGGAGGCUGAAGCAGGAGGAUCCCUUGAGCCCAGGAGUUUAAGCCUGCAGUGAAUUAUGAUCCUACCACCGCAUUCCAGCCUGGAUGACAGAGCAAGACACUGUUUCUAAAAAUAAAUAAAGCAUGUCCAUCCCAUAA